UGAAAGCAAAUUUUAGAAAAAAUGGGUGAAAAUUUGGGUCCUAGGGGUAUUUUUGAAAGAAAAUUUGAAAACUGAUGGUCAAAACGUAAUUUGAGAAAACUUGCGCCACGUCAGUAGCCCCGGCUAACCAGGACACACCGCGUGGUAGAGACGCUGACGCGGGAGGCCAUGCAGAAGGGAGCAAUGUGGGCGAUCCGCGUGCGCGCGAUCGAACGGCUGAGAUUCAUUCCCGCGCGCACGGACCGCCCAGAUCAAAAGCGCGUAUGAACGACCCAGAUUGUAUGCGUACGGACGGCCCAGAUUGAAUCGCGCACGGACGAUCCAGAUUACAUCGCGAUGAACGGCCCAGAUUCAUUUCUUAUUUAAUCGCGAUCGGACGAUCCAGAUUAAAUUACGAUGGAUGGCUCAGAUUAAAAGUGAAAGGUUAUAAAUAAUCUCACCCACACCCAAACCCUAACCUUAGCCACCAGAGCCCUCGCCGGAGAAGACAGCCCAGCCACCGGAGGACCGACCACCGCCACCCGCCGCCGCACCGGAGCACCUUUCGGCCGCCAAAUGAGGUAAAAAUUCUCCCCUUAGCUCAAAUUUCAAUUCUAAACCCAUCUGUGGUCAAAUCGGAGCCAAAAUACCGAUCAAUUGGCCGAAAAACACUGUCGAAGCCCAGCGGCGCCGCCACAUGUUUUUUCGAUUUUUGCUCCGAUGAGGCCCUUCCCGAUUCCCGUUCGAUGUAAUUUUUACACCAUUGUGACCACCGUUCCUUCCUCUACAGGUUGACCAGAGCAAAAUACCAAAUCGCGACUCGAGCCGAAGGAGCCGCCACACCGGAGAGCCCUGCCGCUAGUAAGUUUCAGUUUUCGGUAUUUUUUCGGAGCCGCCGUGCUGAAAUUUCUGAAAUUGGUCGAGUAGGCCCUAGGUCUAAUUUUGAGUUAUUUGGGGACAUGUGCAAGUACCGUAAGUGCGUUUCAAUUCCCGAAAAAAAAUUUAGGGAAUCUAGGGACUGCCCGUAGGUGCAAUGAAAAAUUGAUUUUAGACUUCGAAUCAAGUAAGGACCCCUCACCCUAUUUCCUAUCACAGGAUUAAAGUCUAAUAAGUGAUAAAACUAUAUUUUAUGAAUUAUAUAGAUACACGUAAUUUAUUACGGUUGCUAAUGGAGCCCGAACCGGACGUAUUUCCCUAUCAGUUCUUGUUUGGUUUAUUUUACAGUUUUAAAUGCAGUAUGAUAUCUGUUUUAUUCAUUUUAAGGUUUUGAAUGCAUCAAUCACUGCUUACUUUAUUUCGGCCUGAUUUUGUGAAUCUAAUAAUAUGCUUGCCUUAUUGGGUGCUCAUCAAUUAUUUAAGUAUUCAUGUUUAUGUGGGAAACGGAAAACUAAGAAAAAAAUAGAAAAGGUAUGUGAAUUGAUAAAUGGAUAAGUUGACAGCCUCACUAGAUAUCCUGGCAGAUGGUGGACGGACCGGGUCCACAAGAAAUCCUACCGGGAAUGUUAUCUCAUACCGGACGGGGUAUAGAGACUUUAAAUGUUUUGACGCUCAUACCGGACGGGGUAUGGGGACGGCCCUAGAAAUUAAGUUUGUCAAGGGAAUAGUUCACUGGUAGCGGGGACCCCUAUGGAUCCCCACGGAUACUAGUAGGCUGAUAAAAAGGGAUAACUGUUGUUUGAUGAUUGAAAUAUAAAAGUAUGACAUGUACUAUGUUACAGAUUGUGUAUGAACUUAUGAUAUCUAUGAUGUUAUUAUUUUCAUAUGUCGUUUUUUAUAAAUCCCACUGAGGUAAGUGGACGGUAAAUAAUUUGAUUAUUGAUAAAUAAAUUUACUUAAAACUUGUGCUCCAUUGGUUGU
rnacentral:lncRNA from 1 species